AUUGAACGCUGGCGGCAGGCUUAACACAUGAAAGUCGAACGAGUGGCGGACGGGUGAGUAAUGCUUGGGAAUCUGGCUUAUGGAGGGGGAUAACGACGGGAAACUGUUGCCAAUACCGCGUACCAUAGGAUGAGUCCAAGUGGGAUUAGGUAGUUGGUGGGGUAAAGGCCUACCAAGCUGACGAACUCUACCUGGUCUGAGAGGAUGACCAGCCACACGGGGACUGAGACACGGCCCAGACUCCUACGGGAUGCAGAAGUGGGGAAUAUUGCGCAAAGGGGGCAACCUGACGCAGCCAUGCCGCGUGAAUGAAGAAGGCCUUCGGAUUGUAAAGUACUUUCAGUAUUGAGGCGUUAAAUACAGAAGAAGCACCGGCUAACUGCGUGCCAGCAGCCGCGGUAAUAC
rnacentral:rRNA from 1 species